rnacentral:misc_RNA from 1 species
UUUCCGUAGGUGAACCUGCGGAAGGAUCAUUAUUGUAUAACCGAGGUGCGAGGGCUGUCGCUGACCCGAAAGGUCGUGCACGCCCGAGUGCCCUCACACACAUCCAUCUCACCCCUAUGUGCACCACCGCGUGGGUCCCCCUUUGGCUUGUUCGGAGGGGGGCUUACGUUUUCACACAAACUUUGUAUGCAGUGUAGAAUGUCUUUUUUGUUUUUGCGAUCACGCAAUCAAUACAACUUUCAACAACGGAUCUCUUGGCUCUC